rnacentral:lncRNA from 1 species
UUUUUUCAUUUGUUUUACUGGUGUUCUUAUAUGUAAUCAUAGACCAGGAGGACAAUACUUGCACUGCCAAACUCUGAACAUCGAUGACUUCCAGUUCACCGUCCUUUGGAACAAAAGGUAAACCUUUCCCAUAUUUAGACUCGAAGGCCAAGACAGUGGGCCCUCAGUUUAUUUAUUUGAUUUUUGAUGUUCUGGAAUCUGACUUGUGAAUUGCUCACUCUGUUAUUAUAAGACCUAAUUUUCUUGUUGAUUCUGGAGUUAAUGCACCUUACUUUGCUGCUUUCCAUAUUAGGGCAUAUAGCAUUUACCUCAUUUAUAUUUGUUGUCCGGUUCACCAGCUUCAGUUAUGCUUAUUUAAGGUGAUAUGUGAGAUGCCAUAAAACAUUCAUAGAACAUCAAGUUGAUUUCGUCUUUUGUCCAUGCCUGAUACAGUCCAUGAGUAUUACAUCUAUUUACCAAAAUGAUUUCUUCUGUGACCAAGAGUCAUGUAUACGUCCUAAGGUAGGCUGGUGAUGACUUAAAGAAGUAUCAGCCAUUGAACGCAUAUUUAACAGUCUAUUUUCCCUCGCUCAUCAAGGAAAACUCAUUACCGCAUCCUAGAAUGAGAAAUACAUGUUUCUGGUUAGAAAAUGAUCUCCUUCUACCUCUCUUCUCUUAGUAGUAGUUUUUCUAUUGAUCACUAAAACUAGUUAUAACAUUCUGUACUACAAUAGAGGAGUUACUCUAUGAAAGCACCAUCUAUAUGAUUUGGUAACAGUGAAAGUGAAGAAGACCUAAAGAGUAAAUCAAUGUGGGAUUUUAUGAAGGUGCACCUUCUUUUCAAUGAAUUUGCCUGGCCUUUUCCUAUCUUCCUCUAUACAUAUCUCUAGGUUGUACAGCGUGCUUGAGGGUUUGGUAAUGAAAUUGUGACAUACUUCAUAACUGUAUUGGUUUAGAUGUUUUGCCUCAAAGAUGGUCAAUGACUUAGUGAAUCACUUCAGUGAGAAAGAUCAGCUUUUGCCAAAAGGUCGUGUUUGGGUUUCAGUUCAAGAUUCAAAAAGAUUGAAAUGCUGUGAUAGCAGACAAAGAUGUUUAAAGGAGUAG